rnacentral:rRNA from 1 species
UGGAGCGUGUGGUUUAAUUCGAUGCAACACGAAGAACCUUACCAAGGCUUGACAUGCUAGUGGUAGGAACCCGAAAGGGGGACGACCAGCCUUUGGGUUGGAGCUAGCACAGGUGCUACAUGGCUGUCGUCAGCUCGUGCCGCGAGGUGUUGGGUUAAGUCCCAUAACGAGCGCAACCCCUGUUCCGUGUUGAUUUCCCACAGGAAACUGCCCAGGAAUUCUGGGAGGAAGGUGGGGAUGACGUCAAGUCAGCAUGGCCUUUAUAUCUUGGGUA